GCGGACGGGUGAGUAACACGUAGGCAACCUGCCCGUAAGACUGGGAUAACUACCGGAAACAGUAGCUAAUACCGGAUACGCAAGUCUCUCGCAUGAGGGGCUUGGGAAAGGCGGAGCAAUCUGUCACUUACGGAUGGGCCUGCGGCGCAUUAGCUAGUUGGUGGGGUAACGGCUCACCAAGGCGACGAUGCGUAGCCGACCUGAGAGGGUGAACGGCCACACUGGGACUGAGACACGGCCCAGACUCCUACGGGAGGCAGCAGUAGGGAAUCUUCCGCAAUGGACGAAAGUCUGACGGAGCAACGCCGCGUGAGUGAUGAAGGUUUUCGGAUCGUAAAGCUCUGUUGCCAGGGAAGAACGUCCGUUAGAGUAACUGCUAACGGAGUGACGGUACCUGAGAAGAAAGCCCCGGCUAACUACGUGCCAGCAGCCGCGGUAAUACGUAGGGGGCGAGCGUUGUCCGGAAUUAUUGGGCGUAAAGCGCGCGCAGGCGGCUGUUUAAGUCUGGUGUUUAAUCCUGGGGCUCAACCCCGGGUCGCACUGGAAACUGG
rnacentral:rRNA from 1 species